GUGGGUGUGACGGGCAGUCAGUCCAGUGAGGACUGGAGAAAAGAAAGGAGAUGUGAUGGCUCAAGAGGAAUCCAGCUGUGGAGAAGACUCUCUUCCUUCCGACGGCUGAAGGGACAAGGUGAGAUCGAGCGGCUGGUGGCUGUAAACGCCUUCUGUGGGCCAAGGAUCCUGUUGUUCCCGUGAUAAUCUCUGCUGUUCUUCCUGUGCGCAGUCACAUAACGUCUCAAGCCUGUUCCAGCGGUGGGACACCUGUCCAGGGAAUGCUACCUGAAGCUCGAAGGAGCCCCUGAUCUUCUCUUCCCCGGUAGUGUGCAAACAGAAAGCAGAAAAGAGGGUCCCUCCCCUCCUCAGAUAAACUCUGACCUAAUUCGGGCUAAUCCUGGGAAGGGCAAGUGCCGCCGAAAGCUGCCGGGGAGCUUCGAGAAGAAGAGGACACAGAAGAGCUUUGUGUGAGGGUCCGACGUACUCGGCGCUCCACACUGACACCCCUGGGUCCUCAUUCUCCGCGGUCACUUCAGGCAAAUAAGAGUUUAAAAAAAAGUGGUUUUGCCCGAAACGCGUGGUUUUUUGAAGUUCUGUCAGCAAAUCCUCAUAUAAUGGGAAUGGGAAGUGUGACUGCAAGGGUACCCGCUUGCAGGUGGGAUGGGAAUGCGAAUGCAGUUUUCGUCCCCAGGCCACCGAGGUGCCAGGCAGCAGGGAGGGGCUCCUCCGUGACCUUCGGGUCAGCGUGGCCACCUGUUGCCCUUUUUACACAAAAGCGGUGUGUGCCAGCCAGCACGAGCCAGCGCUGAGCUCUCCAGGGAGAAGCAAAGAGAGCGCAGGAGGGCAGCGAGGGGCCCUGGCAGCUCCGUCUGGUUUAAAGUGCACGAAACGCUUGCCACCAGCACGAGAACCCUCGGUGUCACACAUUGUCACCACUGCUAAGAGCCUGCAGCCAGCACUGCUGUUACCACCACCAGGUACUCCAGGCACCACCGGCUGCUAUUGCCCGGAGCAGAGAUUGAAAUCCCUCUUUCAAAUCGAUCUGUUGUACGAUUGCCCUUUGAACAUCGCUGUAAUAUUAAAUAACUUCAAAAUAGAUAGAAUGAAUGGGGGAUCGAAUAGGAAAAGAAAUUGGGAAGUGUUUACAUAUCCUGAAG